rnacentral:tRNA from 1 species
GCCCCAGUAGCUUAGACUAUAAAGCAUCGGUCUUGUAAGCCGAAGAGCGAAGAUUAAAACUCUUCCUGGCGCA